AGAAAGAUGGAAUCAUCCCUUGGAAAGUUUGUGGCAGGAAAUUAAGUCAAUUUUCCUCUGGGUGCUUCACGAUCACCACUGGACAUUUUACAUGCUUGGCACAGUGGUCGCUCACACUUCCAAGGAUAGCUCUUUUCAAGAAACCAUAACCAUGGCUUCCCAUAACAAGGAUGUCAGCGUCAAGUUUCUCUACUGUAUUACAUAUCACAUCCUUUGCCUCUCCUCUCCCAACUACUCUUUCUACUUUUACAUUGAAGUUCCUGUAUACAGCUUCUGCUCGUUGCAUCACGGAGUUCACCAAAUCCUUGCCAUAUUUUUCCAUGGUAGAAAUCGCAUCACCAGAAAACAUGUACCCUGCAGCGUCAAAGGGAGAGUAGAUAGGAGGUGGGGGCCUAACGUAAAGGAGGACUAGAGUGCUAUUAGAAGUGGGAGAGACAAGGUUAGAGAGACACCAAAAGAGAGCAUGCAUGCUCUCCCUGCUCUCAUCCACUGCCACCACUAUCUUUUGGCCUGUCUUGGUGUUCCCUCCUUCCAUUUUUGACACCUUGACAAUUUAUGUGCCUUUUUUGUGUAAAGGCUGCUGCCUGUUGUUGCGAUAUACGGACGCAAGAAAUUUC
rnacentral:misc_RNA from 1 species